rnacentral:rRNA from 1 species
GACUACCAGGGUAUCUAAUCCUGUUCGCUCCCCACGCUUUCGUGCAUCAGCGUCAGUAACAGUUUAGUAAGCUGCCUUCGCAAUCGGUGUUCUGUGUAAUAUCUAAGCAUUUCACCGCUACACUACACAUUCCGCUUACCUCAACUGUACUCAAGCUUAUCAGUAUCAAUGGCAAUUCUAUCGUUAAGCGACAGGAUUUCACCACUGACUUAAAAAGCCGCCUACGCACCCUUUAAACCCAAUGAAUCCGGAUAACGCUCGCAUCCUCCGUAUUACCGCGGCUGCUGGCACGGAGUUAGCCGAUGCUUAUUCAUACACUACCGUCGGGUCCCCACACGUGGAGAUUUUUCUUGGUGUAUAAAAGCAGUUUACAACCCAUAGGGCCGUCAUCCUGCACGCGGGAUGGCUGGUUCAGGCUUGCGCCCAUUGACCAAUAUUCCUCACUGCAGCCCCCCGUAGG